CACCCUGUGUGAGGGUGUGGUGACUCCCAGGCCCUGCUUUCCUCCUCAUCUCAGGGUCACCCCAAAAGGCCCUCCUCACCCGGGCAUGGAUGCCGCCGUAGCUGCACAACGGUAACAUUGGUGAAGACGACGUCACGUUUGGACAUGGCCUAAGAUCUCAUGACUUGGCCGCCUGGACCCCUCCAAGGUGUUACUGAGGCAGAGGCUCGUGCUGGAGAUUGAAGCCAGGUCCUUAUAUCUGCUAACCGAGUGUUCUGCCACGGAGCCACACCCCAGCCUACACGUCUCAAUUCAAAACUAAGACAUGCUGGGCACAUGCCUUUCGUACGAGUACCCAGGAGGCAGAUCUCUGGGAGAGUGAGGCCAGCCUGAUCUACAUGAGUUCUAGACCAGCCAGGGUUAUAUAAUAAGAGCACAUCUAGAACCAAAACAAACAAACAAACAAACACCACAAAGCUAUCAGAAGGGAAGGUGGGUGGGGCAGCACAUGCCUGAAAUGUCAGCCUUGGGAAGUUGAACCAGGAGUAUUGCCUUGAGGUUUGGGUCAGCCUGGACUACAUAACAAGAUUCUGUCUCAGAACCAACCAAGCAACCCGCCCAACAACCAGCCAACACAGAACCCAGCUAAGAGACAAACGUGCAGCCUCCUCCCUUCUUCAGCCUUCUUUUCUUUUUCUUUCUUUUUUUUUUUUUUUUUCUAAUCCUGGCAUUUUAAACCCAGAGAGCCUUAGGCAUGCUAAGCAAGUUUUCAAUGAUUGAGCCACAUUCCUGGCCCCUCAGGAUUUUUAAAUACUGUUAACUGUGUGUGUGUGUGUGUGUGUGUGUCCGUGUGUCGAAGUCAGAGGACAACUUGUCUGAGUCAGGUUGCCCACUCGGGAACUCUUGGUCCUUCUGCCUCAUCCUCCCUAAUGCUGGAAUUACAACACUCUGCCAGGCUUCCCCCUACCCUUUUCUUUUUAGUUCUGGAUUAAAACCCAGGGCCUCCCACACCCCAUGCUUACAUACACCCACUCUUACACAUUAAUAUUACCAAGAUCAUUUCUGGAUUCUGUCUGGGAACAGAGCCAGCUCUGUGAGCCCCAGACUGUUAUGGUAAGAAUCACCAGAGAAAGGCCCCUUCCCAGGAAAAUCUGACUCAGCUUGACAAUAGCAAUACUGAGGGCCAGGACUUCUGUUUCUGUCUCUCUGUGUCUCUGUCUCUCUCUCCUUGAGACAGGGGUUUUCUCAUUAAAGCCCAAGGGCUGUCCUCAAA